GGUCAAGUUAUUAAGGGUGCAGGGCGGAUGCCUUGGCACUAGGAGCCGAUGAAGGACGUGAUAAGCUGCGAUAAGCUUCGGGGAGUUGCACGUAAACUUUGAUCCGAAGAUUUCCGAAUGAGGAAACUCACUUAGAGUAAUGUCUAAGUAUCAUUAAGUGAAUACAUAGCUUAAUGAGGGGAACUCAGGGAACUGAAACAUCUAAGUACCUGAAGGAAGAGAAAGAAAUUCGAUUCCGUAAGUAGCGGCGAGCGAACGCGGAUUAGCCCAAACCAAUAAAGUUUUCUUUAUUGGGGUUGCGGACAUAUCAUAACGAAGAGGUAUCGUAAUUGAAGAGGUUUGGAAAGACCCACCACAGAAGGUAAUAGUCCUGUAUGUUAAACGAGAAGACUUUAGAUAUGAUCCAGAGUACCACGGGACACGUGAAACCCUGUGGGAAGCAGGAGGGACCACCCUCCAAGGCUAAAUACUACCUAGUGACCGAUAGCGUAUAGUACCGUGAGGGAAAGGUGAAAAGAACCCCGGGAGGGGAGUGAAAUAGAACCUGAA
rnacentral:rRNA from 1 species